UGGGUAGUUGAUUUUGGUUUU
ensembl:piRNA 21ur-4693 ncRNA